rnacentral:rRNA from 1 species
UAGGUUGACCUCGGAUCAGGUAGGAAUACCCGCUGAACUUAAGCAUAUCAAUAA